rnacentral:rRNA from 1 species
UAGGGAAUAUUAGAAAUGGACGAAAGUCUGAUCUAGCAACACCGCGUGUGCGAAGAAGGCCUUCGGGUUGUAAAGCACUUUUUGGAAGGAUUAGGAAGGAAUGUACUUCCAGAAUAAGCCUCGGCUAACUACGUGCCAGCAGCCGCGGUAAAACGUAGGAGGCGAGCGUUAUCCGGAUUUACUGGGCGUAAAGCGUGUGUAGGCGGUUUGAUAAGUUGGAUGUGAAAGCUCCUGGCUUAACUGGGAGAGGUCGUUCAAAACUAUCAGACUUGAGAGUGGUAGAGGGAGGUGGAAUUCCGCAUGUAGUGGUGAAAUGCGUAGAUAUGCGGAGGAACACCAGUGGCGAAAGCGGCCUCCUGGCCCAUUUCUGACGCUCAGACACGAAAGCUAAGGUAGCAAACG